rnacentral:rRNA from 1 species
GACGAACGCUGGCGGCGUGCCUAAUACAUGCAAGUAGAGCGCACAGUUUAUACCGUAGCUUGCUACACCAUAGACUGUGAGUUGCGAACGGGUGAGUAACGCGUAGGUAACCUGCCUGGUAGCGGGGGAUAACUAUUGGAAACGAUAGCUAAUACCGCAUAAUAUUAAUUAUUGCAUGAUAAUUAAUUGAAAGGUGCAAUUGCACCACUACCAGAUGGACCUGCGUUGUAUUAGCUAGUAGGUGAGGUAACGGCUCACCUAGGCGACGAUACAUAGCCGACCUGGGAAGGUGAUCGGCCAAACUGGGACUGAGACACGGCCCAGACUCCUACGGGAGGCAGCAGUAGGGAAUCUUCGGCAAUGGACGAAAGUCUGACCGAGCAACGCCGCGUGAGUGAAGAAGGUUUUCGGAUCGUAAAGCUCUGUUGUAAGAGAAGAACGGGUGUGAGGGUGGAAAGUUCACACUGUGACGGUAUCUUACCAGAAAGGGACGGCUAACUACGUG